GACGAACGCUGGCGGCGUGCUUAACACAUGCAAGUCGAACGGAAAGGCCCUGCUUUUGUGGGGUGCUCGAGUGGCGAACGGGUGAGUAACACGUGAGUAACCUGCCCUUGACUUUGGGAUAACUUCAGGAAACUGGGGCUAAUACCGGAUAGGAGCUCCUGCUGCAUGGUGGGGGUUGGAAAGUUUCGGCGGUUGGGGAUGGACUCGCGGCUUAUCAGCUUGUUGGUGGGGUAGUGGCUUACCAAGGCUUUGACGGGUAGCCGGCCUGAGAGGGUGACCGGCCACAUUGGGACUGAGAUACGGCCCAGACUCCUACGGGAGGCAGCAGUGGGGAAUAUUGCACAAUGGGCGGAAGCCUGAUGCAGCAACGCCGCGUGCGGGAUGACGGCCUUCGGGCUGUAAACCGCUUUCGACUGUGACGAAGCGUGAGUGACGGUAAUGGGUAAAGAAGCACCGGCUAACUACGUG
rnacentral:rRNA from 1 species